rnacentral:RNase_P_RNA from 1 species
GAUCGCGCAGAUCUUAUAUCUGUGAGGAAAGUCCGAGCUCCACAGGGCAGGAUGCUGGAUAACGUCCAGUGAGGGUGACCUUAAGGAAAGUGCAACAGAAAGAUACCGCCAGGCAAACUGGUAAGGGUGAAAUGGCGAGGUAAGAGCUCACCGCUUCUCUGGUGACAGAGAAGGCUCUGUAAACCCCAUUCGGAGCAAGACCGCAUAGAAAGCGAUACGGCGGCCCGUCGUGCUUUCGGGUAGGUCGCUGGAGGCCAUUGGCAACAAUGGUCCAAGAUAGAUGAUCGUUCACGACAGAACUCGGCUUACCGGGGGACUCA